CUCAAGCCUUGUAGGACUUGGACUUCUACUUGAAAUAGCAUUAGUCAUGGCUGCUUCUUUGUAACUGCACUACAGUAUCAUAUAUUUGCCACUUUAAAUAAAGAACAAAUUAUAAAACAGAAUUGAAAUUUAUAAAGAGCCAAUAACAGAGGUACUAUAAUAAAACCUUAUAGCAAUUCAAUUGGCUGAAAUAAAAGAGAUGAACAUUACAUACAUUGAAAUAAUAAAUCAAUUAAAGAGGCCUGACCUUAUCAAGUGACAAAUGAAGGUAUGUAUGGAGUCUCUAUUGACCGCAAAAGUGUAAAAUGAUGUGAAUAGAAGAUUCUCUCACAGCCUAUUUAGGAUUCUUUAUAUACAUGAAUUUAUUGGAAUCUCUACAGGUCAAAG
rnacentral:lncRNA from 1 species